GGGAUUUCAGAUUCUUUUCAUACUUUAAUGUUUCGGGUGAUGUCGUUCCUUUAUUUUUCCUAUUUUUCAUACAUUAAUAUGCUAGGCUAGACAUCUUUGUAUUGGAUGGAUGACAAAACUGAUUGACUCCUAGUUUUUAAUUGAAAACCUUAUGUUUUUAUCUUAAUCAUUGCGUUGUGGUUUCUUUAAUAUGCAUAUCUAUAUUGUUUUAAU
rnacentral:lncRNA from 1 species